AAAAAUGUAUUUUCUUCCUCAUUUCAUUUUAAAUAAAUUAUUCAAGUUUGAUUGAUUUUCUUUUUAUUGGUCGAGUCUAAUGUAUGCAGGUCGUGUUUGCAGCUGAACCCAUGUCCACGUCAUCCUCCCCUGUGUUAGCUUCAACCAAUCUGAGUCCCUUUCUUUAGCCCGAAACCAAGAUAGAGCCGGAGUCCUAAAAAUCCAGCCUUGCUUCCUUACCCAAAUCCCA
rnacentral:lncRNA from 1 species